UCCGGACAUAAACCAGUCAAAUUAAGGGUCAAAAAAUUUUUUCUGUACAAAUUCCUUUUAAAACAUGCGUAAAACCCUUAUUUUUGGACCAAUAUCUGUAAAAUGUGGGUCUAUAAAUCCCUGUAAGUUACUUAAUAACUCUACAUUCUAUCAUUUAAAAUCUUUGAUUGCCCUGCCAAUCCAGAUGAUUCGUCCUGCCAAUCCAGAUGAUUCGUACUUUGGGGGGUGUCACACUCCCCCAUACCCCCCCCCCUCAAGUUUCGUCCCUGCGUACAUCUAACUUUUGUAUGCCUUGAUUAAGCUGUCCCUCCCCCUGGGUCCACAAAGUCUGAGUGCAUAUUUUUGGAAAUACAACAUUUGAAUUUUUCUUAUAUUUUACUAGAAAUUAUGCACAAUAACACAGUAAAUUUUUAGUAAAAUGUUCAAGGAAAAGGAUCUUCCAACAGCAGCAGAUGACACAGCAAAUCUUUAGUAAAAUGUUCAAGGAAAAGAAACUUCCAACAGCAGCAGAUGACACAGUAAAUCUUUAGUAAAAUGUUCACGGAAAAGGAUCUUCCAACAGUGGCAGAUAACACAAUAAAUCUUUACUCUGUCUAACGCUAGAUCAUUUUACUCAUCAAGUGGAGUCUUGCAACUUAAUGGGUUAAUGAAUCAGUUGGUUAUUACAACCGAUUUCAACUUGAUUCAUAUUUAACAUUCACUUUAACCCAUUUACUGGCAGUACUCUACCACUGACGAGUAAUUAAUCGUCUGGCAUUAGACAGAGUAAAUACUAAGUAGGGCACAUUUGGGCACAUUCACAUUGCCAGUUAAUGAGUUAAUAUUAACAACAUUAAAAACAGACUAGGGUGUCAAAGGCUAGUUGGAUGCUUCUUUGCCUGCAACAAAGCAUAAAGUGGGACUGCCACAUGAUCAAUGUUAGAUUUCAGCAAUGAAGAGAAUCAAUAUUUUAAUAAAAUAAUUGUUAUUAAUAAAAUAAUUGUUAAAAUAAUCAAUAUUUUAAUAAAAUAAUUGUUGUCAAUUAAUAAAAUAAUUGUUAGAAAUUGUUG